AGAACGAACGCUGGCGGCAUGCCUAACACAUGCAAGUCGAACGCUUGCCCGGUUUCGGCCGGGCAGGAGUGGCGCACGGGUGAGUAGCGCGUGGGAACCUGCCCUGUUGUGGGGGAUAACCGAGGGAAACUUCGGCUAAUACCGCAUGCGCCCGGAGCAAUCCGGGGAAAGAUUUAUCGCAGCAGGAGGGGCCCGCGUCGGAUUAGGUAGUUGGUGGGGUAACGGCCCACCAAGCCUGUGAUCCGUAGCUGGUCUGAGAGGAUGAUCAGCCACACUGGGACUGAGACACGGCCCAGACUCCUACGGGAGGCAGCAGUGGGGAAUAUUGGACAAUGGGGGCAACCCUGAUCCAGCAAUGCCGCGUGAGUGAUGAAGGCCUUAGGGUUGUAAAGCUCUUUCGCCCGCGACGAUGAUGACGGUAGCGGGAGAAGAAGCCCGGCUAACUUCGUGCCAGCAGCCGCGGU
rnacentral:rRNA from 1 species